UACAGAGGGUGCGAGCGUUACUCGGAAUUACUGGGCGUAAAGCGUGCGUAGACGGUAGCGUAAGUCAGAUGUGAAAGCCCCGGGCUCAACCUGGGAACUGCAUUUGAGACUGCUCUGCUCGGGUGCGGAGGAGGGAAGCGGAAUUUCCGGUGUAGCGGUGAAAUGCGUAGAUAUCGGAAGGAACACCAGUGGCGAAAGCGGCUUCCUGGUCCGACACCGACGUUCAGGCACGAAAGCGUGGGGAGCAAACAGG
rnacentral:rRNA from 1 species